rnacentral:rRNA from 1 species
GCGAGUCUUAAACGGGCGAUAAGUUCGUUGCGGUAGACCCGAAGCCGGUCGAUCUAUGCAUGUCCAGGGUGAAGCGCGGGUAACACCGCAUGGAGGCCCGAACCCAUGAAAGUUGAAAAUUUCUGGGAUGAGGUGUGCAUAGGGGUGAAAGGCUAAUCAAGGCCGGCGAUAGCUGGUUCUCUCCGAAAGAUAUUUAGGUAUCGCCUCGGAAUUUAAGCGUGUCGGGGGUAGAGCACUGACAAGGCUAGGGCACCUACCAGUGUACCAACCCUUAUCAAACUCCGAAUACCGACAAGGCAUGUCCGGGAGUCAGUUCGUGGGUGAUAAGAUUCACGAGCGAGAGGGAAAAAGCCCAGACCAUCAGCUAAGGUCCCAAAAUUUGUGCUCAGUGGAAAAGGAUGUGGAAAUUCCGAGACAACUAGGAGGUUGGCUUAGAAGCAGCAAUCCUUCAAAGAAAGCGUAAUAGCUCACUAGUCCAGAAAUUCCGCGCCGACGAUGUAACGGGGCA